CUACGUGCCAGCAGCCGCGGUAAUACGGAGGGUGCGAGCGUUAAUCGGAAUAACUGGGCGUAAAGGGCACGCAGGCGGUGACUUAAGUGAGGUGUGAAAGCCCCGGGCUUAACCUGGGAAUUGCAUUUCAUACUGGGUCGCUAGAGUACUUUAGGGAGGGGUAGAAUUCCACGUGUAGCGGUGAAAUGCGUAGAGAUGUGGAGGAAUACCGAAGGCGAAGGCAGCCCCUUGGGAAUGUACUGACGCUCAUGUGCGAAAGCGUGGGGAGCAAACAGGAUUAGAUACCCUGGUAGUCCACGCCCUAAACGAUGUCGAUUAGCUGUUGGGCAGCAUGACUGCUUAGUAGCGAAGCUAACGCGUGAAAUCGACCGCCUGGGGAGUACGGUCGCAAGAUUAAAACUCAAAGGAAUUGACGGGGACCCGCACAAGCGGUGGAUGAUGUGGAUUAAUUCGAUGCAACGCGAAGAACCUUACCUGGUCUUGACAU
rnacentral:rRNA from 1 species